CUGCCAUGACGAUAACCUUACCUACUAAGACCAAAAAAUGGUUCUACUCGUACUGUCUGAGCAG
rnacentral:snoRNA from 1 species